rnacentral:rRNA from 1 species
UACGAAGGGUGCAAACGUUGCUCGGAAUCAUUGGGCGUAAAGCGCACGUAGGCGGCCUCAAAAGUCGGAUGUGAAAUCCCUCGGCUCAACCAAGGAAGUGCAUUCGAAACUGCGAGGCUUGAGUACUAAAGAGGAUCGCGGAAUUCCCGGUGUAGAGGUGAAAUUCGUAGAUAUCGGGAGGAACACCAGUGGCGAAGGCGGCGAUCUGGGUAGAUACUGACGCUGAGGUGCGAAAGCGUGGGGAGCAAACAGG